rnacentral:rRNA from 1 species
AGAGUUUGAUCCUGGCUCAGAAUGAACGUUGGCGGCGUGGAUUAGGCAUGCAAGUCGAGCGCGAUAUUUUUGAAAGAUACUUCGGUUGAUUUCUUGAAUGGAAAGCGGCGAAAGGGAGAGUAACGAGUAGAUACGUACCCAGGGGUCCGGGAUAGCCAUGCGAAAGCGUGAGUAAUACCGGAUAAUGUCUCCGGACCAAAGAUUUAUUGCCCUUGGAGCGGUUUGCUUACUAUUAGCUUGUUGGUGGGGUAAAGGCCUACCAAGGCUUAGAUGGUUAGCGGGUGUGAGAGCAUGACCCGCCUCACUGGGACUGAGACACUGCCCAGACAUCUACGGAUGGCUGCAGUCGAGAAUCUUCCGCAAUGGACGAAAGUCUGACGGAGCGACGCCGCGUGCUGGAUGAAGGCCCUCGGGUUGUAAACAGCUGUCGUAGGGGAGGAAAUUUUGACCGAUCCUAGGAGGAAGCACAGGCUAAGUUCGUGCCAGCAGCCGCGGUAAUACGAACUGUGCAAACGUUAUUCGGAAUCACUGGGCUUAAAGGGUGCGUAGGCGGGUUGGUAGGUCAGAUGUGAAAGCCCACGGCUCAACCGUGGAAUUGCGUUUGAAACCACCAGUCUUGAGGGGAUCAGAGGAGAGCGGAACUGAUGGUGGAGCGGUGAAAUGCGUUGAUAUUAUCAGGAACACCGGUGGCGAAAGCGGCUCUCUGGGAUCUUUCUGACGCUGAGGCACGAAAGCUAGGGGAGCGAACGGGAUUAGAUACCCCCGGUAGUCCUAGCUGUAAACGAUCUGUACUAGUCUGUGGAGACUCCCACAUCUUCUCGGACGUAGCGAAAGUGUUAAGUAC